GUGGGGAAUAUUGGACAAUGGGGGAAACCCUGAUCCAGCAAUGCCGCGUGAGUGAAGAAGGCCUUAGGGUUGUAAAACUCUUUCACCCGUGAAGAUGAUGACGGUAGCGGGAGAAGAAGCCCCGGCUAACUCCGUGCCAGCAGCCGCGGUAAUACGGAGGGGGCUAGCGUUGUUCGGAAUUACUGGGCGUAAAGCGCACGUAGGCGGCGCAUCAAGUCAGAGGUGAAAGGCCUAGGCUCAACCUAGGAACUGCCUUUGGUACUGGUGUGCUGGAGUCCGGGAGAGGGUAGCGGAAUUCCCAGUGUAGAGGUGAAAUUCGUAGAUAUUGGGAAGAACACCGGUUGCGAAGGCGGCUACCUGGCCCGGUACUGACGCUGAGGUGCGAAAGCGUGGGGAGCAAACAGGAUUAGAUACCCCGGUAGUCC
rnacentral:rRNA from 1 species